rnacentral:rRNA from 1 species
ACGGGUGAGUAACGCGUGGGAACCUUCCCAGUGGUACGGAAUAGCUCGGGGAAACUUGAGGUAAUACCGUAUACGCCCCUAGGGGGAAAGAUUUAUCGCCAUUGGAUGGGCCCGCGUCGGAUUAGCUAGUUGGUGAGGUAACGGCUCACCAAGGCGACGAUCCGUAGCUGGUUUGAGAGAAUGACCAGCCACACUGGGACUGAGACACGGCCCAGACUCCUACGGGAGGCAGCAGUGGGGAAUCUUGGACAAUGGGCGCAAGCCUGAUCCAGCCAUGCCGCGUGAGUGACGAAGGCCUUAGGGUUGUAAAGCUCUUUUGGCGGGGACGAUAAUGACGGUACCCGCAGAAUAAGUCCCGGCUAACUUCGUGCCAGCAGCCGCGGUAAUACGAAGGGGACUAGCGUUGUUCGGAAUUACUGGGCGUAAAGCGCACGUAGGCGGAUUUGUAAGUCAGGGGUGAAAUCCCGGGGCUCAACCUCGGAACUGCCUUUGAUACUGCAAGUCUCGAGUCCGAUAGAGGUGGGUGGAAUUCCUAGUGUAGAGGUGAAAUUCGUAGA